AAGCUGUGUUAAUAAAAAUGCAGCCUUUGAUGGAAACAUCAAAGUGAAAACUGGGUUAAUUGUCGGGAAACCUUUUAAAUGGUAACCCGCAGCCAAGCCUGAAUAGGAAGGUUCAGAGACUAUACGCCCAGAGCCUAAGUCUAAAAAGAUAAGGCCAUGAGAUAGUCCACGCUUUUUGGAAACAAAAAG
rnacentral:ncRNA from 1 species